CCACUUGGGCAAUAUUUCACGCGCGAAGUCUCAAAACCAUCAAUCCUCAUUCAAUGAACAUUCAAUC
rnacentral:rRNA from 1 species